rnacentral:rRNA from 1 species
GGAUAACCUGCCCUUGGGUCCGGCAUAACCCCGGGAAACUGGGGAUAAUUCCGGAUAACGCACAUAUGCUGGAAUGCUUUAUGCGUAAAAUGGAUUCGUCUGCCCAAGGAUGGGUCUGCGGCCUAUCAGGUAGUAGUGGGUGUAAUGUACCUACUAGCCGACGACGGGUACGGGUUGUGAGAGCAAGAGCCCGGAGAUGGAUUCUGAGACAUGAAUCCAGGCCCUACGGGGCGCAGCAGGCGCGAAAACUUUACAAUGCGGGAAACCGUGAUAAGGGGACACCGAGUGCCAGCGUCAUACGCUGGCUGUCCAGGUGUGUAAAAUACACCUGUUAGCAAGGGCCGGGCAAGACCGGUGCCAGCCGCCGCGGUAACACCGGCGGCCCGAGUGGUGAUCGUGAUUAUUGGGUCUAAAGGGUCCGUAGCCGGUUUGGUCAGUCCUCCGGGAAAUCUGAUAGCUCAACUGUUAGGCUUUCGGGGGAUACUGCCAGGCUUGGAACCGGGAGAGGUAAGAGGUACUACAGGGGUAGGAGUGAAAUCUUGUAAUCCCUGUGGGACCACCUGUGGCGAAGGCGUCUUACCAGAACGGGUUCGACGGUGAGGGACGAAAGCUGGGGGCACGAACCGGAUUAGAUACCCGGGUAGUCCCAGCCGUAAACGAUGCUCGCUAGGUGUCAGGCAUGGCGCGACCGUGUCUGGUGCCGCANGGGAAGCCCUGAAGCGAGCCACCUGGGGAAGUACNGNCGCAAGGCUGAAACUUAA